GGCGCAUUUUCUCUUCUCCAACCACGGCCAAUUUUGCCCCCUCCAUGAGCCGCCGUCUUCUACGUCACAAUCCGACCACCACCUAGACCACCAGAUCCCAACAUCACUUGAACCCAUUUUCGCACAAGCCACAAAUUGCACCGUAGGCCUUCGCAACGGCGAACAUUUGGAUUCUGCACUUUAGAAAUUCAGAUUGUUGAAUUGUUGUUUGUGGUAAAUUGGGGCCAUGGUUUGGGUCAGUUUAUGGUGGGCAAUCGACCGGUGGUGGUGUGUGACCUUGGGUGUCGCCGGAGAUGGAGAUUCCGACAGAGGCAGUUUGCGUGUUUCGACAGUUUUUGAGGAUGACUUUUGAUUGAUUUUUGUAUAUGUUUGGGUUGUUGUUUGUGUGGUAAUUGAAGAAGAGAUUGAGGGCUUUGCAAUGGUACGUAAAUUCGGUGGUUUUGGAGGUGGUUGGCUGGAGUUUAGAGGGAUGGAAAGUGGCAGUUUUGGAGGUUUUGGGGAAAUGUUUUGGCAGAAGAAAGUUGGGGAAAUGGUUUGGCAGAGUUUGGCUUCAAAACUGCAUUUCCCAUGUUUUGGAUUUUUGGCGCGUUUUCUAAAACAACAUUUUUGCCAUUUACUGUUUACUUCACAUAUUUUUUUUUUUUGUUUUCGAUCGUUUUCGAAAACGGGAAAGAGAACGCAUUUUCACCGUUUUGAAAAAUCGAAAACGGUCGAAAACGGGCAAAGAGAACAGCCCCUAAUUUUAUGGAAAAUGCCAUUUAGGGGGAUUUGGAUCGUACAAGUAAUGAUACGUCUAAAUUUCACCAAAUUCCUACGAGUAUUUACAUUUGAGUGCUGCAGUAUGCAAAGAUUGGAAAUCCAUGCCAUGGUUCCUAAGGCCUCAGGAUGACCUUUGCAAGCUAUGUUUGUUUGGGAGAUAUUAUUUAAAUUUUGAAGUGAAAAAUGAUUUAUUAUUUAUUAUUUUUUUGUUUGGAGAAUGAGGGAUUAGAAAGUAGGAAAAACUAUGGGUUUACAUGAGAGAUUAUUUUAUUGGUUGUG
rnacentral:lncRNA from 1 species